GAGAGUUAAUAUGUUGUUGCGCCAUAGCUAAUUCUUCUGAGUACGUCUUUUCCAUAGAUUACCAGAUGUAGUGUGAUUCCAUUCUAAUAGGCUAUCCUUAACAAACUUGAGUUUACGAGCAAGAGAAUAUUGAUCAGCUGACCCAUUACAACUAGUUUGCCCAGCUUGUCGCACUAUCUCCCUACACUACAGAUGGGCUGUCCUCGUUAAUUCAAACCUAUAAGGUCUACAUCGAAAUGGUAAUCAGUAAUCCGUAUGUAAGAUCAUUGGUCCAUGAUCCGAAAACAUAAUUGGCAAGUUUAACAACCGAGGACGUUGAAAGUUUUGAAGAGCAUUGUCAUUGCAGAAUACUUUAUCGAGUCGUUCCUAAAAUACAUCCUCGCCAUCCUGAUUGUUGGUCCAGGUGAAAUGUUGACCAAUCGGUGGGAUCUCUAAUAGCCACAUUAUCAAUGUAAUCUUGUAAUUUUUCUGCCCUUUGUAAUGCAUCUGA
rnacentral:lncRNA from 1 species